CCACAUCUCUUUCUUCCCAAAUCCCCUUCCUCCAGACUGCAAGCCAUGGUGGGCAAGCACGUCAAUCUUUCCCGAGGAGCGACUUUGCUGAUGCGGUGCUCGCGCAGCUCUUGCCUCCCCACGGCUGCGGCGCUACAACCGGCAUCAGGCGGUGCUACAUCCGGUGGUCGGCAAGCUGUAACCUGCACAGCGGCUAAUCGGCGGUCGGCGGUCCGCGAGCUGCAACCAUACCGUCGCUGCCAAUGUUGGAACCAUCGAUGCAAAAAGCUGGAAGCAGCGGCGCAAAAAGCUGCAGCCGGCAAACGAUUUUGCUACAUUCAUCAUGGCGGACCUGCGCCCCCGCGAUGACGGUGAUAUUUUUGCUGCAACCGUCGUCUGAUUUUGCUACUAUCGGCGAGGUAAUUUGCUACAUCCAUGAUGGCGGAGCUGCGACGCUGGCAGCCAAAUUUCUUUUUGCUGCCAUCGUCGUCUAAUUUUGCUACUAUCGGCGAGGUAAUUUGCUACAUCCGUGGUGGCGGAGCUGUGACGCCGGCGACCAAUUUUUCUUGCUGCCACCGUUGGUGUUUUUUGCUACUACCCGGCGAUGUAUUUUGCUACAUCCACUCAAUGUCGUUUAAUGGUGGUCGUCAGUCGCAGCGAGGGUCGACGACGAGUGGCGGAGGCGACACAUUGGGUGCCACAACCAUGGAGCGUUGACGGGGGAGUUGCAACUCUGAGGUGGAGCUUGUAACUGAAAAUUAACUAGCGAGAAGGUUCUCCGGCGAGCAGCAGAGGGGCUACAAGGAAUAGAGGUGCAAGCGCGCGGCGGCCGGCAGUCGUUCCCCUCGCCGAGCUGCACACGAAGGCGGAGCCGCGGGGACAUCGGCAUGGGAUUUUAUUUGGGAUUCGUGGGAAGGAAGAAGACGGAAGGGAAGGCUAGAUCAGGGCGAAUGAUUUUUUUGGACGGCUGUACUGUACCAGAUCGAACGGCUGGGUCUGACCGGCCGAAUCUAGCGCCGGCGGACCGGCGCCUAGUACUGGCCAAAAAGAAAGGGCGUUCGGGAGACUUCGCCCUCGUCCCGAACGAGCCGCUGGGAUGACGUGGCCAGCCGGGAGCGUCAAGAUGUGUGCGUUUCGAUCCAAUGGCAAUGAGCACGUUCGGGACGAGAAGACAAAACGUGGUACGUUCGGGAUUUAUUGAUUUCGUAAAUAUAAUAUGAAAAUAUAUUUUAAGAUGAAUCUAAUGAUAUUGGUGUUGUUAUAUGUGAAUGUCUAUAAUUUUUUGUAUAAAUUUGGUUAAAGUUGAACGAGAUUGACUUCGGACAAACCUAAUAUGCAGAAUAAAAAAAAACCGGAGGGAGUACCUUUUGUUUACCUCCUCCACGGCUAUGUGUGGAGAGUGGUCAGAUGUUGACUUGUGUUCAGGACUUGAUGGAGAACUGGUGGGUAGGGAAAGUUGUCUUGGACUCUUGUUGAAUGCGAGUAACGAUGCUUGAUGGUGCGUUCGAGUAUUAUUAAAUGUAGUACUCUGAUGGUUUCUUUACAUGAAAAAUAAAGGCCCGCAGCGUUUACUGCUAGUAUUUUUGCGAGUUUUUGCAUGUAAUUUUUCGCCAUACAAUCCAGCAAACCGGCAUAACUUACGCUGUUGAUAACCAUAUUACUAAACCCUAGGCGAUCAAUCGUGCCGCCGCUCUGGCUCCGGGAGGUUGUCCUUGGGAAGGAUGGUUUUGGUAUUUCUGCCGGUUUGGUCUCGAUAGGUUAGUUUGUGUUUGUGCCGUUUGUAAUGGUUAUCUUCUGUACUAAUCGACAGCAGGCUUGAACUGCAAAAAACUUCUUAUAUUUUGGUACGGAUGAAGUACUUAUGAAUUCAGUGACCUUAACAGUCUGAUCUUGGAUCUCUCCUGGUGCUUCCUAUAAUCUACUUGUGAGUCCAGUGAAUUUCACAAUCUAACCUUGAAACGUUUGCGGGCUUGGCGACGCAGUGCGCCUUUGUCCUCAGCUCAUCUGAUCUUUUCUUUUCUUGCACAUCAGAAUUCUUGUAGAACAGUUAACUUAAACUAGCACAGUGGGGCACCAUCAUUAUUGUUUUGAAAAUGGUUGAAUAAAUAAUGUUUUUGAUGGAUUUAUUAAAGGCCUCUUUGAUAUGCAGGAUUUUAAAACAUAAUGAUUUGAUUUUUUAGACAAACAUAAUAAUUUGAUGCAAGUUCAAAUAGAGGACUGGGAAGCCCAUUAAUUAUGGAAACUUUUUUGGUCCAAUAAAUGUCAAACCACAAAAAAAACGAUGGGCUUUUCACUUGAUCCCUGUACACCCUGUAGCCCAGCCCAAAUGAGAGGAGGGAGCUUCACCGAGCUCACGAGCUGGGAGAAAUCGGCCGUUCCCCAAAUCAGUCCAAUCCCUAGCUCCUCUAACGCAAGCCGCCGCCGGUCGCCUCUUUCACGCCGCCGCCGGUCGCUGCCCCCUUUCUCCUCCGCCGCUCAACCUCCACGGCUCCACGGCCUCGGGAACGGCUGCACGGCCGGCUCCUCCUUCACGCAAAGCUUGCUCUAGAGCAUGUGCGUGAGCAGGACAUGUGAGUCAGCUUAAGCUUGUCUUGUGAGCGCAUUAUCUAUAUUUUUCUUGAAUAUAUUCUGUCAUCUUAAACUCUGUUUUCGAUAGCUGCAUUCUGUCAUAUAUCCUUCCUUUGUGGACAAUUUUUAUUUAGACACCUGUGUAGAUGUCCUGUGAAGGCUUCUGAAUCUUAAGUUUUUUAGUGUGAUUGUAUAAGCUUGUAGUUGUCAGUUACAUCUUAUGUUUUGAUAAGACUUUGUAUGCUUCUUCAUGUUUUUGGUAGUUGAAAUUUACGAGUUUUUGGUUAAGUAGACUUGCAUUUGUCUCUUAAAUUUUUUAGAUCUUGAAUGUUCAUUUGGACGGCAAAACACACGAUAGCUAAAACAAAUGUACAAAAGAAUGCAUGACAGAAUAAAAAAUACAUGUGAAAAUACACAGUAGGUAACUGUUGUCCAAAAGAUUAGGAGGACCAAAGGCGCCGUUAAAGAGAACACAUACAAAGAUUCGUUUUUGCCGAUCUUGAAGCCUUGUGCAGGUUUGCGCUUCAGGAAGUUAACUGAAUAACACGGAAUAACCUCUGAAGGAUAUGUUUUAUUUCCAUUUGGUCGGGCAAGGCACCCUCCCUCCAUCUUCUGGUGUCGUUUCAGAGCCUUUCUUAACAUGAAUAGAUGAAUUAGGUUCCAUGUGGUGCUGCUUCCCCGCAGUUAAUCUUGCCACAACAUUUCCUCUGCCAUGAAUAUUACAUAUAUUUCAGUUAAAAUACCAGACAAAUUCCAGUUCAACAAAGUGCACAGAAGCAUUAUCCAAAAUAAAAAUUCACGCAUACCAUUCUGCUGUUCUGGAGCGCCAUCUCUAUCUCUACCUAUAUAUAUAUAUAUAUAUAUAUAUAUAUAUAUAUAUAUCUUUACCUACUAAUAAAGCGCUUAUUGCUUCUGGUCGUACGUCAGCAAUUUUUCAUAGAAGUCCCUCUCUUUCUAAGAAAUCAACCCGCAGUCCCUGUUUUUAAGUGAAAAAAACGUUUCGUCCGGGGUUGUAAAUAAAAAAAACAGACACGAGCACGACUGCACGAGCUCUCCUCUCUCCCACGCCUCCUGAUCCCAGCCGCCAGGAGGCACGCGGCCCGUGCGGCGCUCGAUCCGGUGACGCGCCGGCCGCCGCCGACGCCGGCAAUCACAGCACCCUGCACCACCGUUCCACCUUAGCUCCUCAUCUUCCCCGCGUGCCCGAGCUCCUCCUCUCCCGCGUGCCCGAGCUCCUCGCUGUGUGCCGCUCGGGAGGGCUUGCGUUCGCCGCUCGACCAAAGCCACCGCGAGCUGGUCGUCGUUGCACUUGCUGGCGACCUGGCCGUCCCCUCUGCACCACUUUCACCUCAAAUUUGGACGCUCAUGUGCUUGUGGAUGUUCUCAGUUAUUUUUUGCACACAAGGUGUUUGUGUGUUUGUCUGAACCAGUUUCAGUCACAGAUCCUUGAGCCGACCUAAUUGAGCUAUCGGAGGUGUUGCGGUCUUUUAGCAAACAUGCCCUAUAUUCUAUGGUUUGGCAUCUACAGGAUGCCAUCUCUGGUCAUGGAUCCACUAUGGCUGCUUCGUCCUUCACUUAGGACCUUCUCACCCCCACAGAGAUCAGAGAGAAAAAUAUAUCUUGGAAGCAGGAACCCUUACCUCAUAAGAUGGGUUAUGACUAUGCCGUAGGUGACGUGCGGAAAGGCGACCAAAGAGUACAUGAAGAAUUCUUGCUAUCAACUAGGGCUGGAUGCCCCCAGGAAGAAUGCCGUGAGUCAACUUUAAUGACUAAUAUGUUAAUUUCUUCUAGCUACACAAUAUGAGAUAUUGCUUCUUAAUUAACGCUUACUGCUACGUAGUAAGAUGACAAUGGGAUUUUGUUUCUCGAGUUGGCACUCAGUAGUAAAAGUGGUUUAUACUUCGAAUAGUUGAGCAGAAAACUGGCAUGUCAUGGCUCCUAAUGUUACAGAGCAAGUGGACAGACUCUAUCCCCCCCCCCUCUCUCUAGACUUUGUUUUCUAGGUUUGGUUGGGUACAAAAGGCUAGAUUCUGGUAUAUAUUCAUUGAUGCAGAAGCUAGAAGCUCAUUGAUAUUAUUUUUCUUGCCAAACAUACAAAGGAUUGUGCAUAAAACUUCCAGCUUGAAAUCUACAUCUGGGUUACGAGCUUUCUCCAGAAUUUAAGAACAUCGUUGUGGACAUUUAGAUAUUUUUGUAGUAUUCUUCAGGGUCUUGACUUAAUUUCUUUUCACACAGUAAAAUAUUAAUUAUAUGUUGUACAGUAGUAGUACUGUGCAUACUAUGUACUCAAGUUUAUUGAAGUCAAAGCAGGAAAGGAGAUCAGAGUUCAGGGCAUGUUCAGCUCCACCCAUGCAUCAAGGGAAAUAUAUACGACGCAAAUGAUAACGUGUUCUGCUAGAUGACAUAGUACAAGGUUCAGCAGCGACGACAUGAUCUCAAACAUGCCACUGGCAUGGCACCUAUACUAAACUUGAUUUGUUCUCUCAAUAUGGAGUGUUAAUCUUCUCCUCUGCAUAGUACAAAUAUUCCCUUAGCUCAAAGGAUAUAGACAUGGUGAGUUUGGUUGGAGGAAAUAAGAAUGAUUUAUAAAAGUAAUAAAAGGGAGAUAAUGCUGCUUGAUGUGUAUGGGGAUUCUGAAGAUAUAUAUGAUUGAUACUUUCCCUGCAUGAUAUAGAUUAGUCGA